AGUGAACGCUGGCGGUAGGCCUAACACAUGCAAGUCGAACGGCAGCACAGUAAGAGCUUGCUCUUACGGGUGGCGAGUGGCGGACGGGUGAGGAAUACAUCGGAAUCUACUUUUUCGUGGGUGAUAACGUAGGGAAACUUACGCUAAUACCGCAUACGACCUACGGGUGAAAGCAUGGGAUCUUCGGACCUUGCGCGAGUGAAUGAGCCGAGGUCGGAUUAGCUAGUUGGCGGGGUAAAGGCCCACCAAGGCGACGAUCCGUAGCUGGUCUGAGAGGAUGAUCAGCCACACUGGAACUGAGACACGGUCCAGACUCCUACGGGAGGCAGCAGUGGGGAAUAUUGGACAAUGGGCGCAAGCCUGAUCCAGCCAUACCGCGUGGGUGAAGAAGGCCUUCGGGUUGUAAAGCCCUUUUGUUGGGAAAGAAAAGCAGCAGGUUAAUACCCCGCUGUUCUGACGGUACCCAAAGAAUAAGCACCGGCUAACUUCGUG
rnacentral:rRNA from 1 species